rnacentral:rRNA from 1 species
AGUGAACGCUGGCGGUAGGCCUAACACAUGCAAGUCGAACGGCAGCACAGUAAGAGCUUGCUCUUACGGGUGGCGAGUGGCGGACGGGUGAGGAAUACAUCGGAAUCUACUUUUUCGUGGGGGAUAACGUAGGGAAACUUACGCUAAUACCGCAUACGACCUACGGGUGAAAGCAGGGGAUCUUCGGACCUUGCGCGAUUGAAUGAGCCGAUGUCGGAUUAGCUAGUUGGCUGGGUAAAGGCCCACCAAGGCGACGAUCCGUAGCUGGUCUGAGAGGAUGAUCAGCGACACUGGAAGUGAGACACGGUCCAGACUCCUACGGGAGGCAGCAGUGGGGAAUAUUGGGCAAUGGGCGCAAGCCUGAUCCAGCCAUACCGCGUGGGUGAAGAAGGCCUUCGGGUUGUAAAGCCCUUUUGUUGGGAAAGAAAAGCAGCAGGUUAAUACCCCGCUGUUCUGACGGUACCCAAAGAAUAAGCACCGGCUAACUUCGUG